AUUGAACGCUGGCGGCAGGCUUAACACAUGCAAGUCGAGCGGAGAUGAGGUGCUUGCACCUUAUCUUAGCGGCGGACGGGUGAGUAAUGCUUAGGAAUCUGCCUAUUAGUGGGGGACAACAUUCCGAAAGGAAUGCUAAUACCGCAUACGUCCUACGGGAGAAAGCAGGGGAUCUUCGGACCUUGCGCUAAUAGAUGAGCCUAAGUCGGAUUAGCUAGUUGGUGGGGUAAAGGCCUACCAAGGCGACGAUCUGUAGCGGGUCUGAGAGGAUGAUCCGCCACACUGGGACUGAGAAACGGCCCAGACUCCUCCGGGAGGCAGCAGUGGGGAAUAUUGGACAAUGGGGGGAACCCUGAUCCAGCCAUGCCGCGUGUGUGAAGAAGGCCUUAUGGUUGUAAAGCACUUUAAGCGAGGAGGAGGCUACUGAGACUAAUACUCUUGGAUAGUGGACGUUACUCGCAGAAUAAGCACCGGCUAACUCUGUGCCAGCCGCCGCCGUAAGAC
rnacentral:rRNA from 1 species